rnacentral:misc_RNA from 1 species
UUUCUGUAGGUGAACCUGCGGAAGGAUCAUUACUGAGGUUUGAAUGAAGUUGUUUUGGUCUAUCGGGGCAAGUGAACGCUUCUCCCACUCCAUCUUAUACCUGUGCACCUAUCGGGGAGGCCUACGAUAUAAGUUGGGUCACGCCGGCGAUCUACAGUCUCCUCUUUAUACCAAAUAACAGUUUUAGUAAGUCUUUUUUGCUUGAUGCAAACAUAAAUAAAUAAAACUUUCAGCAACGGAUCUCUUGGCUCUC